rnacentral:lncRNA from 10 species
CCAGCAGAGGUGGGCUGGACACUGCUCCUGGCAAAGCUGGCCGGGAAGAUGCAGCCCGUGGGACACUCCCCACCACCACUCUCACAGUCUGACUGACUGCGAAGCUUCACAGACCAGAAGGUUCAUUCCUCACAAGAAAAGGAAAACCCUGGUCUGAUACUACUGUUCUGAAAUUUAACAGCCAGUUGGGUCCAGCAGCUUUGCCUCUCUACCCUUUUAUCACCAAAGUAUACUGCUGAGAAAGAAUCAAAUGAAAAGAAAAAAGACUCAACAAGACCUCACUCAUAUUAACUGGACUCUACAAGCAGUGAGCAUCCAGACCUGCAUUUGGUUACAAAAGAAGCCUUCAAGCUAUUUUCAUCAGCU